rnacentral:rRNA from 1 species
AUUGAACGCUGGCGGCAGGCCUAACACAUGCAAGUCGAACGAGUGGCGGACGGGUGAGUAAUGUCUGGGAAACUGCCCGAUGGAGGGGGAUAACUACUGGAAACGGUAGCUAAUACCGCAUACCAUCGGCUUUGCCCAUAUUGGAUUAGCUUGUAGGUGAGGUAACGGCUCCCCUAGGCGACGAUCCCUAGCUGGUCUGAGAGGAUGACCAGCAACACUGGAACUGAGACACGGGCCAGACUCCGACGGGAGGCAGCAGUGGGGAAUAUUGCACAAUGGGCGCAAGCCUGAUGAAGCCAUGCCGCGUGUAUGAAGAAGGCCUGAGGGUUGUAAAGUACUUUCAGCGGGGAGGCGUUACCCGCAGAAGAAGCACAGGCUAACUCCGUGCCAGCAGCCGCGGUAAUAC